CUCUUCUCUGCCCUUGCUGUAGAGUGAGUGAACCACACUCCAAACUUUCCACAGUUACUCCGCCCACUCCACCCACACAACAGUUACUCAAGCCACUCCAGUUGUAGACAACUGGUGGAGGCAAGAACACUUCACACAAUUUCCCCAGAAAUUGUAGCUUUUCUAGUUAUUGUUGGUAUUUAUAUAGUGCCAACUAAUUCUACAGCACUUUACGAUAUUGUAAAAAGGAUGGGGAAAUUUACAAUAAAUGAGACAAUUACACAGUGAC